GAUGAAGAACGUAGCGAAAUGCGAUACGUAAUGUGAAUUGCAAAUUCAGUGAAUCAUCGAAUCUUUGAACGCACAUUGCGCCCGCCAGCAUUCUGGCGGGCAUGCCUGUUCGAGCGUCAUUUCAACCCUCGACCUCCCUUUGGGGAAGUCGGCGUUGGGGACCGGCAGCACACCGCCGGCCCUGAAAUGGAGUGGCGGCCCGUCCGCGGCGACCUCUGCGUAGUAAUCCAACUCGCACCGGAACCCCGACGCGGCCACGCCGUAAAACACCCAACUUCUGAACGUUGACCUCGAAUCAGGUAGGACUACCCGCUGAACUUAAGCAUAUCAAUAAGCGGAGGA
rnacentral:misc_RNA from 1 species